GUAGGACUACCCGCUGAACUUAAGCAUAUCAAUAAGCGGAGGAAAAGAAACUAACAAGGAUUCCCCUAGUAACUGCGAGUGAGGCGGGAAGAGCUCAAAUUUAAAAUCUGGUGGCUUCGCCGCCCGAGUUGUAAUCUGAAGAAGCGUUUUCGGUCGUUGCCUCGGACAAGUCCCUUGGAACAGGGCGUCAUAGAGGGUGAGAAUCCCGUCCUUGCCGAGCUACAACGUCUAUGUGAUGCGCUCUCGAAGAGUCGAGUUGUUUGGGAAUGCAGCUCAAAACGGGUGGUAAACUCCAUCUAAAGCUAAAUAUUGGCGAGAGACCGAUAGCGAACAAGUACCGUGAGGGAAAGAUGAAAAGCACUUUGGAAAGAGAGUUAAACAGUACGUGAAAUUGCUGAAAGGGAAGCGCUUGAAGUCAGUCGCGUGUAUGAGACUCAGCCUCACGGUGCAUUUCUCUUACACGGGUCAACAUCAGUUUCGACCGCGGGAAAAGGGCUUGAGGAAUGUGGCAGCCUCGGCUGUGUUAUAGCCUCUUGUCGUACACCGCGGUCGGGACUGAGGACCGCUUAUAGGAUGUUGACGUAAUGGCUUUAAGCGACCCGUCUUGAAACACGGACC
rnacentral:rRNA from 1 species